AUACGAAAGGUGCAUGCGUUGUUCGGAUUUACUGGGCGUAAAGAGAGUGUAGGUGGUUUAUUAAGUCGGAUGUGAAAUCCCGGGGCUCAACCUCGGAACUGCAUUCGAUACUGAUAGGCUAGAGUUUGGGAGGGGUAAGCGGAAUUCCGUGUGUAGCAGUGAAAUGCGUAGAUAUACGGAGGAACACCUGAGGCGAAGGCGGCUUACUGGACCGAUACUGACACUGAGACUCGAAAGCGUGGGUAGCAAACAGGAUUAGAAACCCGAGUAGUCC
rnacentral:rRNA from 1 species